rnacentral:rRNA from 1 species
GAGUAGGGCGGGACACGUGGUAUCCUGUCUGAAUAUGGGGGGACCAUCCUCCAAGGCUAAAUACUCCUGACUGACCGAUAGUGAACCAGUACCGUGAGGGAAAGGCGAAAAGAACCCCGGCGAGGGGAGUGAAAAAGAACCUGAAACCGUGUACGUACAAGCAGUGGGAGCACCUUCGGGUGUGACUGCGUACCUUUUGUAUAAUGGGUCAGCGACUUAUAUUCUGUAGCAAGGUUAACCGUAUAGGGGAGCCGCAGGGAAACCGAGUCUUAACUGGGCGUUAAGUUGCAGGGUAUAGACCCGAAACCCGGUGAUCUAGCCAUGGGCAGGUUGAAGGUUGGGUAACACUAACUGGAGGACCGAACCGACUAAUGUUGAAAAAUUAGCGGAUGACUUGUGGCUGGGGGUGAAAGGCCAAUCAAACCGGGAGAUAGCUGGUUCUCCCCGAAAGCUAUUUAGGUAGCGCCUCGUGAAYUCAUCUUCGGGGGUAGAGCACUGUUUCGGCUAGGGGGUCAUCCCGACUUACCAACCCGAUGCAAACUACGAAUACCGAAGAAUGUUAUCACGGGAGACACACGGCGGGUGCUAACGUCCGUCGUGAAGAGGGAAACAACCCAGACCGCCAGCUAAGGUCCCAAAGUCAUGGUUAAGUGGGAAACGAUGUGGGAAGGCACAGACAGCCAGGAUGUUGGCUUAGAAGCAGCCAUCAUUUAAAGAAAGCGUAAUAGCUCACUGGUCGAGUCGGCCUGCGCGGAAGAUGUAACGGGGCUAAACCAUGCACCGAAGCUGCGGCAGCGACACUAUGUGUUGUUGGGUAGGGGAGCGUUCUGUAAGCCUGCGAAGGUGUGCUGUGAGGCAUGCUGGAGGUAUCAGAAGUGCGAAUGCUGACAUAAGUAACGAUAAAGCGGGUGAAAAGCCCGCUCGCCGGAAGACCAAGGGUUCCUGUCCAACGUUAAUCGGGGCAGGGUGAGUCGACCCCUAAGGCGAGGCCGAAAGGCGUAGUCGAUGGGAAACAGGUUAAUAUUCCUGUACUUGGUGUUACUGCGAAGGGGGGACGGAGAAGGCUAUGUUAGCCGGGCGACGGUUGUCCCGGUUUAAGCAUGUAGGCUGRUUGUCCAGGCAAAUCCGGAUAAUCAAGGCUGAGGUGUGAUGACGAGGCACUACGGUGCUGAAGUAACAAAUGCCCUGCUUCCAGGAAAAGCCUCUAAGCAUCAGGUAACAUCAAAUCGUACCCCAAACCGACACAGGUGGUCAGGUAGAGAAUACCAAGGCGCUUGAGAGAACUCGGGUGAAGGAACUAGGCAAAAUGGUGCCGUAACUUCGGGAGAAGGCACGCUGGUGUGUAGGUGAAGYCCCUGCGGRUGGAGCUGAGACCAGUCGAAGAUACCAGCUGGCUGCAACUGUUUAUUAAAAACACAGCACUGUGCAAACACGAAAGUGGACGUAUACGGUGUGACGCCUGCCCGGUGCCGGAAGGUUAAUUGAUGGGGUUAUCCGUAAGGAGAAGCUCUUGAUCGAAGCCCCGGUAAACGGCGGCCGUAACUAUAACGGUCCUAAGGUAGCGAAAUUCCUUGUCGGGUAAGUUCCGACCUGCACGAAUGGCGUAAUGAUGGCCAGGCUGUCUCCACCCGAGACUCAGUGAAAUUGAACUCGCUGUGAAGAUGCAGUGUACCCGCGGCAAGACGGAAAGACCCCGUGAACCUUUACUAUAGCUUGACACUGAACAUUGAGCCUUGAUGUGUAGGAUAGGUGGGAGGCUUUGAAGCGUGGACGCCAGUCUGCGUGGAGCCAACCUUGAAAUACCACCCUUUAAUGUUUGAUGUUCUAACGUUGGCCCCUUACCGGGGUUGCGGACAGUGUCUGGUGGGUAGUUUGACUGGGGCGGUCUCCUCCCAAAGCGUAACGGAGGAGCACGAAGGUUAGCUAAUCCUGGUCGGACAUCAGGAGGUUAGUGCAAUGGCAUAAGCUAGCUUGACUGCGAGCGUGACGGCGCGAGCAGGUGCGAAAGCAGGUCAUAGUGAUCCGGUGGUUCUGAAUGGAAGGGCCAUCGCUCAACGGAUAAAAGGUACUCCGGGGAUAACAGGCUGAUACCGCCCAAGAGUUCAUAUCGACGGCGGUGUUUGGCACCUCGAUGUCGGCUCAUCACAUCCUGGGGCUGAAGUAGGUCCCAAGGGUAUGGCUGUUCGCCAUUUAAAGUGGUACGCGAGCUGGGUUUAGAACGUCGUGAGACAGUUCGGUCCCUAUCUGCCGUGGGCGCUGGAGAAUUGAGGGGGGCUGCUCCUAGUACGAGAGGACCGGAGUGGACGCAUCACUGGUGUUCGGGUUGUCAUGCCAAUGGCACUGCCCGGUAGCUAAAUGCGGAAGAGAUAAGUGCUGAAAGCAUCUAAGCACGAAACUUGCCCCGAGAUGAGUUCUCCCUGAGACUUUAAGUCUCC